rnacentral:lncRNA from 1 species
CUCUUCUUCCUCCUCCUCCUCCUCCUCGCCGUCAGGCAACCUCUUGGUCCCCGCAUGGGCAUCGCCCGCCGCUGAGCACCUCGCCCGGCCAUGGACGUUCCGANGCCGGCCCGGCGCCUUCUGGCGCUGCUGCUGCUGCUGCUGCCCUGCCUGGGUGCCCAAGCAGCUUGGACGCGACACGCCCUUAGACCCUGGAUACUCCUCGCCCCGUCAAAAAUAGCAUUUGAAAGUUCACGCAAGUACGUGACGGCCCGCUGGACUCCUGAAGGACCCCUUAUUCCCAUUCCUCUCGCCGCCUCCCCUGGACCGGCCUCCGUCGGGGGACGUGCGGAGCCUUCGGCGUUAACACGGGGCCCUUUGUCGAGAGGACUUUCUCUCUCUUGAUGCCCGGCCAAAUUGCUUACGAGAGGAAAUACUGGCCGUCACUCCAGGUUGAGAGGGAGAGAGAGUGGGGGAAAGUGGAAAAAAGCAACGCUCCGUCUGCUGAGCCGCUCUGCGCUGGCUCUGAAAGCAGGAUUGCUCAGCCGGCCCCGACAAAGAAUUCUGUGUAACUCCGCCGCCGCCGAACNUGCAAUUGUGGUUGAGGAAAACGAAGCCGCGCCAGCCAGGUCCAAAACCGAUGGCGUCUUGCCUGGCAUCUGGCCGGCAGGCUGAGGACCGGCUGCCUUACAGAGGGUCCUUGAUGGCUUAGAGAAUGCCAUGGCCGUGAGUUCCAGAGGUUACUUUUGCAACAUGUCAAACUGCUUGACUUCCCCUUCAUCCAUUACUUCCUUACAGACCUGCCCAUCGGUGAAUACGCGAAAGAGAGGGUCCUCUUGGUAGUAUGGCCACCCUCAGUAGUCAAAAGUAUGGGGACGAGUGAGCGGGCCUUCUCUGUGGUGGCCCCCAGUUUGUGAGCUAAUUUCUCCUCUGAGGUACAGCUAGCCUCACUGUUAUAGAUUACUUUGGACAGAUGGUAAGGAUGCACCAUUGUACCUUAUCCUUUGGCUGAGGUAGUAGCUGCCCUUUGCCUUUGAGGCACUGUUAUCUGAGUUUUUUAACCAACUGAAUUUUAAGUCCUGAAUUAAAAGUAAGGCUGGAAAGGAUAGAAAUGCAAGGAACAAAUCAAAC